rnacentral:rRNA from 1 species
GUUAAAAAGCUCGUAGUCGGAUUUCAGUAUUAGGCCCUUCUUCCAAUACGGUUGCUAGUGGUCUUUACUUCCUUAACAGAAUCUUUCAUCUCAUUAAUUUGGGGUGUUUGGGGCCUGUUUCUUUUACUUUGAGAAAAUUAGAGUGUUCAAAGCGGGUUUUCGCCUGGAUAUUACUCUUGGAAUAAUAAUAUAGGACUUUGGUUCUUUUUUGUUGGUGACUUAGAACCGAAGUAAUGAUUGAUAGGGACAGUUGGGGUCAUUCGUACUAUGAAGCGAGAGGUGAAAUUCAUGGACCUUUGUAUGACGAACUACUGCGAAAGCAUUUGACUAGGAUGUUCCCGUUGAUCAAGAACGAAAGUUGGGGGAUCGAAGACGGUCAGAUACCGUCGUAGUCUCAACCAUAAACUAUGCCAGCUAGGGAUUGGAGGAAGAUCAUUUUACGUCUCCUUCAGCACCUUAUGAGAAAUCAAAGCAUUUGGGUUCCGGGGGGAGUAUGGUCGCAAGGCUGAAACUUAAAGGAAUUGACGGGAGGGCACCACCAGGAGUGGAGCCUGCGGCUUAAUUUGAUUCAACACGGGAAAACUUACCAGGUCCGGACAUGGGAAGGAUUGACAGAUUGAAAGCUCUUUCUUGAUUCUAUGGGUGGUGGUGCAU